UUCGCUUUCGCUAGCGAAUCGAGCUCAGUGUGAACUAAGCUUAAGAAGCAAUUUAGUAAUGCUCUCCCGUAUUGAACUUCGUGUACAUUUUUAGUUAUCCCAUAAAUAACUGAAAAUAAUUUUCGUCUAAAAUGGAAUAUCAACGGAAUGGAAAUGCUACCAUCGAAUUUCGUAUGUUAGGUGACGACGAGCUGAUCAGAGGAACUAAACGGUUUCUUUCGACUGGCCGGAUAUAGAGUAUGCCAGAUGAUAUACAUACAACGGAGAAGAAAAUAUUUGAAACUUAUUGAACGGGAAAACAAUUGUAAAUGUAAGUCGAAGAAAUUAAUUGACAAGUUGAAAAACGACACGAAAGAGA